CCAGAAAGCAGGUCUGCCCCUUUAAGGCCAGAACUUUCUGGGCACAGAGUGCUGGUAAGGAAAGGGCUAAAUGCCGAACUUGGCCAGCUAGUCAGCUGACCAGAAGGGGAAGGACUAUAAAAACUGUGGGCAGAGUGGUAGUAAGGGGGACAGCAGCCGAAGGGGAAGGAGGGCCUCCAAGAGCUCCACAGAGAAGCUGGGUGAGCGGUCCAAAGGCGGGAACUACAGAAGCUGUGGAGAGAUGGCAGCUGCACCACAGCAAGGACUGUAGCCAAAGGUAGGGAGCUGAAGAACGAACCCUGCAAAAGUAAGCUGACCUGCUGCUUUGCUUGAUUAUAUUGGUCGGUGGCAGUUAUUUUAUUUUAUUUUUUUUGAUUAUUGACUAAUACCGGGGGCUUGGGUGAGGCUAUUAGGGGAUGGAGGAGGCCUCAUAGGGGACCCACAGCAGUGUGGGGACCCCAGGACCAGAGAGGGCACAGCAUUUGGGGGUGCACUGACCCCAGCUCCAGAGAGGGCGCAGCACUUUGCAGGGCUGUGGACAGCCCAGGUGCCAGUGAGGCGCAGAGUAAGACAGGGCUGCAGAGACCCCAAGCAUCAGUGAGACACAGUGCGAGACAGGGCCACAGAUGAGGCAGGGCCACAGAGAGCCCAAGCACCAGUGAGGCGCAGUGCGAAGCAGGGCCGCAGAGAGCCUGAGGAUGACCAGGGGGCCAAAUUGUAACAAGGCCUGACACUGGAAAAGGCUAGAGCCUCGGAGUCAAACCCUGUUUGGUGGGUUUUGGAUGGAGAGGCCUAGCUAGAGAAAGACAGGGGUCAGGCCUGUGUAGGCGAAAGACCCCAACAUACAAAAUAUAAUCUCCUGCUCACAAGAACAUCAACAAUAAUUUCCAUCAAGACAUGGCAGACAAGUAGAGGGCGGGACCGAAGAACUCCAAAGACUCCAAGGUCGCCCCACGUAAGGACAGCCGUACAAAAAGCCCUGCUUGAAUAUGAUGAUGCUUAAUAAACUUGGGACUAAACAGAAGGAAAAAAAAAUGGAAUUGCUUCUACUUGGCUAGCCAUCUUCUCUACAUUAACUGUGACAUCAGUUUCCAGCAAGACCUGAGGCAAAGCAGGAACACCGGGAGGAACCUGCGCGAGCCAUUAGCUACGCUUUCAUUCAGUUGCGGCCGGCUGGUGAUGUCAGCAGCAAUUGCUGGCUGGCAGGGAUAAAAAGGACAGCCCACAGAGAGGCGGGGGAUUGGACACCGGGAGGAAUCCCAGCCGAGGGAGUCAGCUGGAAGUCCGGAGUGGAGCGGAGCCUCAUGCGAUGAGGGAGAAGCCGUUGGCAGCGGUAAAGACAAGCUUGCACUCGGGGCAGGAACUCCACUUCAGGGAAAGCCGGGUGAGGACAACAGAAGCUGGAGAAACCCCAAGCCUAGCGGCCUCCACAGAGAAGGGGGAGGUACUGGCCCUCCCUACAGCUUCCAAACAGGUGGGAUGGUGGAGGGACCCAGGGGACCUGAGGAGAUGCCCCAGAGAGAGGGGCAGUAUUGGAAGACCCCAAGAGAGGGCAGCCUUACUACGAAGCCCCAGAGAGAGGGCGGCAUAAUUGUGAAGCCCCAGAGAGAGGGCAGUAUCACUGAGGAGCCCCAGGGAAGGAGAGAAGCACUAUUGUGAAAGCCCAGAGAGAGGGAGAUGAUACCGAAAGGCCCAGAGAGAGGGCGACGGCAGUGUGAAGGCACGGAGAGAGGGCAACGAUACCGGAAGGCCCAGGAAGAGGGUGACAACAUUGUAAAGGCCCAGAGAGAGGGCAACGAUAGCUAGGGCUGUGGGGACCAAGCCGGGGGACGGGGGGGGCUAGGUGAACAAGAAAGGGCCCUAGCGGUCAGAUAGGAGCACAGGGUGUAUCUUGGGCGCAUGCAGCGUGCACGGUGUUGGUGGUGGUUUUCUUGCAUUUUUCUUUUGCUAUAGAGCAUUUUGUGUUUCCCCAUGCCGGAAGGGGUUGAGGCGGAGGAAGCGAGAACAGAGUGAGGAGCUGUACACUUAUGGAUUGAAAGAUACUCGUGGUGCACAAGAUUGGCCGUAGGAUAAACAGUGACCUGCCAGGCUGGGAAUAGGGCAAGGUAGAGGGGAGGUCGAGCCUCGUGGAAGACUGCUGAAAGAACGAGUGGCCAGCGAGGGAAAUCGUGCAGUACUGAGCCCCCCCACUGAAGAAGAUUCAAAGUCGUGGCAGGCGAGAAAGGGGUGGUCUGCGUCGGGUGUAAAGACCUCCUCGAAAGACCAUCUGCAACAGCAGGGCGGAUUCCGGUGGGCACCUGAACCAAAGAGGCACGGAGCAAGAUGUUCGAGGCCAGGCUCUCAAGGAAGCACUAGCAUUUCUCAAGUACUGUCACCUGCCUCUGACCUAUUUGACACACUUCACUAAGAUUUUGCUGAGCUGAUUGACUUCAUAGAGGCAGAAGAAGCCCUGAAGGAGAAAACCUGUAACAGCUGCUAUGGAAACGAUGGAUGCCUUAUACCUCAUGAAGGUGGAGCAACUAUUUUUUGAAAAGGUUUAAUGCCUUCAUAGUUUACAGUUUCCUAGGGAGAAAACCCUUGGAGUAGUGAUGUGCCUCGUCUUUUGUCCUAUGACAUUCUAAUUAACAGUCACAUAACUAAUGGAAGGUUGAGAUGGGCCCCAGUCAUGAACGACGCGUGCCCCCGGCAGCUUGCGGGGCACGGUAGGAGUGCGGCGGUGACAGUGGGAGUGCAGCGGCGGUAAGCGGUGGAGCUCCUGCAAAUGCCACCAGCACUGACUAAUUUUAUUUGAUGUUAAAUAAACAAUGUUGGCGGCACCUUUUUGUAGAUGGUGCACUGCCAUUCUCAGGGGGUGCACGUGCAUCCACAUGCACCCACUAUGUGUCACCCCUGGACCCAGCCCUGGAUGCUGACUUGGAUGGGGUAGGUGCCCCAGCACUGUCACUACUUAGGCACAAAACUAUCUGGUUACACCUGUGCUAGCUUGGUUUAAAAGCAUAAACACGUUAUAAAUCACUAUUUCCGUUCUCUUUCUUUUGUUUUGCUGAGUAAAGUUGAAAGCCUGAUAAAAUUCUAACUGAACACAAAUGUUAUAUGAAGGCUGGCUCCUGCUGCAACCGAAAAAGGAGCAGCAGCAGAGCAUCCUGCACUGGGAACCAGAGGAAGAGAGAAGUAUUUAUCUGUGUUUAUCUGAAGUCAAGCAGAAGGCAGGGUAGAUUUGAACCUUAUAGAUUAACUAAAUUUGUGAGCUGGAGUUCACUUCAUCAGAUGCUGUGAAAGGACAUGGACAGACCAGUGUAUAAAAUGGAGAAAUGAUUUUGGAGGAGACAGAAGAGAGAGAACCUUUCUGUUUUUGCAGACCCAGCUCCCUGCCUCAGUGACCUGUCACCUGAUUCUGGACAAAAAUCUUUUUUUUGUUAUGAGAUAUGGAGAAUAAAGGAGAUGUCUGUGGCAUUUUAUUCUGAA